rnacentral:piRNA from 1 species
UACUGUUCUGCCAUGGUGUACUGGAAUGU